rnacentral:rRNA from 1 species
AACGAACGCUGGCGGCAGGCUUAACACAUGCAAGUCGAACGCCCCGCAAGGGGAGUGGCAGACGGGUGAGUAACGCGUGGGAACGUACCUUUCAGUUCGGAAUAACUCAGGGAAACUUGUGCUAAUACCGGAUACGCCCGCAAGGGGAAAGAUUUAUCGCUGAAAGAUCGGCCCGCGUUGGAUUAGCUAGUUGGUGGGGUAAAGGCCUACCAAGGCGACGAUCCAUAGCUGGUCUGAGAGGAUGAUCAGCCACACUGGGACUGAGACACGGCCCAGACUCCUACGGGAGGCAGCAGUGGGGAAUAUUGGACAAUGGGCGCAAGCCUGAUCCAGCCAUGCCGCGUGUGUGAUGAAGGCCUUAGGGUUGUAAAGCACUUUCUACCGACUGAAG